CAACAGUGAUCUAAACUGAAAAUGACGUCAUACGACACUGGUUGGGAAGAUGAACUAUUUCAACAUCCCGUUGGCCACACAUUGCAUUGUGGUAUAUGUCUGAAUGUUUUAAAGGAUCCAGUUUCGUGUCAACAUAAUGAACAUUUGUUCUGUCGAGCUUGUAUCACCAUACAUCUCAUGAACUUUCAAACAUGUCCAUCGUGUAUGGAACCACUCACUGUCGAAUCACUGCGCCAAGCACCUCGGACCGUAACGAACUUACUUUCCGAAUUAAAGAUCCGCUGUCAAUUCUUCGAUCGUGGUUGCGGACAGUUCGUCAAAUUAGGAGAUCUUGAAAGGCAUGUUACUGACUGUGGGUUCGCCCCAGCAGUCUGCUCUAACGAAGGAUGCCAACUUGAGGUGAAUAAACAAGAUUUACUACACCAUGAAACAGCUGUGUGUGAACUACGCAGAGUCAAGUGCCACAAUUGCAACGAAAUCAGACAAGAGAUGGAUACAGUGAAAGUUAAUUUGGCAGCAAUGAAUGAAAAGUUGAAUGAAAAGUUGAAGGGAGUUGGGGAACAGUUGCACAGAAAUGAGACGAACGUUAAAGCAGUGGAGAAAAAUGUGGUUGCAAAAGUUGAAUUGGUUCAAGAACAACUUCGAGGACAACUCAACAAGCAGGAAGAAAGCAAUCGUCAGCUUAAAGCGGACAAUGUAGAAAUGAAGAAAAGUUUAAAUGAAAUUACGAAACAACUGGAAAGAAUGACACAACAAACAUCGCAUAAAGUUCAGGCUGAAGAAAUGAAGAAAGAUAGCGCAGAAGGUGGAAUGGACAGAGAGCCGAAGGUCCUUGUUGCUGGAGGCGAGAAUGGGAGAAAAACACUAAAUUCAGUGGAAAUGUUCAGUCUCUUAAACACAACCUGGACACAACUACAGCCAAUGAAAGAAAGUCAUGAGAGAGCAUCUUCAGUUGUUCACAACAAUCAAUUUUUUGUCAUUGGAGGUGUGGGUAACAGUGGAGGAAUCAAGUCAAUUAAAAAAUUAUCACUGAAUGCUGUUCAAGUUGAUCAGUCCAUAACUUGGGAAAACGUUCUUGCUGAGUUACCUGCACCAUUGAAUGGACAUUGCAGUGUAGUUUAUAAUGGACGGUUGAUAGUGAUUGGAGGUUUUGAUGGUAGUAAAGGUGCAUAUUCUGAUAGUAUUACUGAGAUUUCCCUUGCUCCACCUUAUACCAGUAAACUGUUGGCAACCAUGCCACAGACAAGAUUUCUUCAUGGUGUUGCAAUGUUUGGUGACAAGAUACUGAUUCUUGGAGGCAAGUUAAUUGGUUUUCCCAGAACAAAUCGUGCAAGUGUUUUGUUAUAUGAUAUUACUAAGAAUGAAUAUAAGGAGUUAGCAGCCCUCCCCUAUCCCGUGUCUGAAAUGGCCACAGUAAAGUGGGGUGAUGACAGUGUGAUCAUAGUGGGUGGUGUUAGCAGUAACAAUCAAUCAUUAAACAAAGUUUUAUUAUACAACAUCAAGACCCAGAAGAGUCAUAUGUUACCAGACAUGAAGUAUAAGAGGAGUGGAUGUGUGGCUGUAGUUGUCAGAGACAUUGUGAUUGUCAUGGGAGGCAUAGAUGAAAGAAGAAAGUGCUUAAAGUCUGUAGAAUGUUUUCAAUUUGAUCGCAAUAGCUGGCGAAAAUUUCCUGAAAUGCGGGAAGCAAGAUACUGGGCUACUGCAGUUGUAUGUUAAUUAUAUAUUGUAUAUAUUAGCAACCUAAUUAUUAAGUUGUUGCAGUAUUUUAUACACUUUUGCACUUG
rnacentral:lncRNA from 1 species